GGGAAUCACUGGGCGUAAAGCGUGCGUAGGCGGUUGUGUAAGUCUGAAGUGAAAGUCCAAGGCUCAACCUUGGGAUUGCUUUGGAAACUGCAUGACUUGAGUGCUGGAGAGGCAAGGGGAAUUCCACGUGUAGCGGUGAAAUGCGUAGAUAUGUGGAGGAAUACCAGUGGCGAAGGCGCCUUGCUGGACAGUGACUGACGCUGAGGCACGAAAGCGUGGGGAGCAAACAGGAUUAGAUACCCUGGUAGUCCACGCCGUAAACGAUGAGUGCUAGGUGUUGGGGGGACACACCCCAGUGCCGAAGGAAACCCAAUAAGCACUCCGCCUGGGGAGUACGGUCGCAAGACUGAAACUCAAAGGAAUUGACGGGGGCCCGCACAAGCAGUGGAGCAUGUGGUUUAAUUCGAAGCAACGCGAAGAACCUUACCAGGGCUUGACAUCCCUCUGACCGGUGCAGAGAUGUACCUUCCCUUUGGGGCAGAGGAGACAGGUGGUGCAUGGUUGUCGUCAGCUCGUGUCGUGAGAUGUUGGGUUAAGUCCCGCAACGAGCGCAACCCUUGAUCUGUGUUACCAGCACGUGAUGGUGGGGACUCACAGGUGACUGCCGGCGUAAGUCGGAGGAAGGCGGGGAUGACGUCAAAUCAUCAUGCCCUUUAUGUCCUGGGCUACACACGUGCUACAAUGGGCGGUACAACGGGAAGCGAAGCCGCGAGGUGGAGCCAAACCUAAAAAGCCGUUCGUAGUUCGGAUUGCAGGCUGCAACUCGCCUGCAUGAAGCCGGAAUUGCUAGUAAUCGCGGAUCAGCAUGCCGCGGUGAAUCCGUUCCCGGGCCUUGUACACACCGCCCGUCACACCACGAGAGUCGGCAACACCCGAAGUCGGUGAGGUAACCAUGAUGGAGCCAGCCGCCGAA
rnacentral:rRNA from 1 species